rnacentral:tRNA from 1 species
GCGUCAGGUGGCGAACGAAGUGUCGAAAGCGGUGUUCGGAUCAUCGCGCGGCGCGGGGGCCGGGAUCAUCGGCGGGCUGAUGCGC